rnacentral:rRNA from 1 species
GAUGAACGCUGGCGGCGUGCCUAAUACAUGCAAGUCGAGCGAACAGACGAGGAGCUUGCUCCUUUGACGUUAGCGGCGGACGGGUGAGUAACACGUAGGUAACCUACCUAUAAGACUGGGAUAACUUCGGGAAACCGGAGCUAAUACCGGAUAAUAUUUCGAACCGCAUGGUUCGAUAGUGAAAUAUGGCUUUGCUAUCACUUAUAGAUGGACCUGCGCCGUAUUAGCUAGUUGGUAAGGUAACGGCUUACCAAGGCAACGAUACGUAGCCGACCUGAGAGGGUGAUCGGCCACACUGGCACUGAGACACGGUCCAGACUCCUACGGGGGGACGCAGUAGGGAAUCUUACGCAAUGGACGAAAGCCUGACGGAGCAACGCCGCGUGAGUGAUGAAGGUCUUCGGAUCGUAAAACUAUGUUAUUAGGGAAGAACAAACGUGUAAGUAACUGUGAACGUCUUGACGGUACCUAAUCAGAAAGCCACGGCUAACUCCGUG